rnacentral:piRNA from 1 species
UGGCCUGGAAGAAGUUACCCUUUUUGGAUGA